rnacentral:lncRNA from 1 species
UGGGAAGGUCACACGCACUAGCCCAGGCUGCAUUCCCAGGCACAGGGGAGGAUCCUCCCUUCUGCUGCCCUGCAUGGCAGGCCAGCAAUCUUGGGGCUGCCCUGGCCCGGCCUGGGGACGCCCACCUUGUGUCCUCCCCACGCCUGACCUGACUGAGACUGGCCGCCCAGAGGCUCCCCUUGGAGCACUCCCGCAGCUGGCUACUGUCACAGAGACGCAGACCUGCCUCCCCUGGGAAAGCCAGCCGGCAGGGCAGGGACUGACUCAUCCCUGGCAUCCUAGGGGGACGGGGGUUGUUGAAAGGUGUCCCCAGGGGUCCAUACGGACUUUGGAUGUGAUUCCAAGUUAUCCAAGCACAGCCAUUCCUGAGAAGCCGGGGACGGAACCAACAUCCAACUACUGGCCAGGAAAUGCUCGAUGUCUACUCCUCUACCAAGCAUUUAUUGGGCACCUACUGCAUACUCAGCACCGAGGGAGACUCCAAGGUACCAGCCACGCCAGGUCCUGGCCAGGUGCCACGAAGAUCCCACCCCGACGGCCCAAGGUGCAGGACAGCUGGGGAGCAGGUGAGUCCCGGUGAGACAGGGUUCAAGACCCCGAUCCCACCCCAAGUCCCCUCUGGCAAGUAGGAGGGAAGAAAUGCCUGCCCCCGUUUGCUGCCUCCCGAAUUUCAGUCUUCUGGUUCCCCCGCGGAAGGGGGCCCACCAGGGCCGGCCCCUCUGCCCCAGCCUCGGGUGCCGAAGGCCCAGGCAAGGCAGCGCCUGUGUGAAGGCAGUCCUCACCUGGGCAGUCAGACCUUGCGCGCCAUGUCAGCUUCCUUCGUGACAGAGGAUGGGGCUGCGAGACGGCAGCCAGCACCACGUGCCCGGGCUGGGGGGUCCGCGGAGGGAGGGGCGGCCCGAGGGCACCACCUCGUCCUUCCCUGUCCCUCCCGGCUGGGCUGGGCACUUACUGAGAUCCUGGAGCAGGGAUGACCAGGUCCUCAAGCCCAGCAUGCUGCCACCCUGGCGGGGCCAGCGACUCUGGGAGGGGCUUCGCGGCAGA